UGAAAAAUAAAGGAAUUGAUUGUUUCCUCUAUUAGUGCUAGCCGAAAUUGAUAGUGUGCAAGGAGAGUGGGCAUUGGUCAAGUAAUGGAUUAGCAAUUGGUAGUGAUUUCCAAUUUUGUAGAUAUUUCUAUCAAUUCUUAGUUGUCAAUUUGCAUAUGAUAAAGAAGAGGGAAUCAAGGAGAAUAAUUGGUCUUUAAUUAGAUAUUGGCUAGAGAGUUUCAGCUAGGGUAAGGGCAUAAGUAAUUGGUUUCCCAAUUUCUUUUCUUUGUUCUCUUCUUCUUCCCCUAAUUCACCACUUGUAGCUGCCCAAUAUCGAAGGAGAAAACUCAAGAAAUUCAAUCUCUCUCUCUCUUUCUCUCUUCACUUUCUCAUUGCCGACCACCUCCAAGAAGGUACUAGAAAAUUUUCUUUCAUCUUCCAAUUUCUACCAACGUGUUCCACCUAUUAGCAGAGAAGAGAAAUCUCAUUUUUAUCUUUCUUUCAUUAUCCUGCAAGGCAUGAAAGUUAAGAUUUUCGGGUUUAGAAAAGGUUUUCAUGAUAAGCAACAAGGGUGUCAAUGGACACAUUUCUAGAGUUUGGGCUAAGCAAAAUUAUCAAGAGGUAAACACUAGGUAGACUUAUUUGGCACACAUGGUGAGCUGAGUCAGUUUCUAGAAAGUAUGUAUGUAUGCUGCGGGGAGCUAGUGAACAAGGAAACGAUCUGGAACGUCGUAGUGUCUUAGAGUCUUUUCUUAUGUUAAUUUAUUAGUGAGAUGUAUUUCUUUAUUUAAGAAUGCAUUAAAUUCUCUUUUGGUUUUAAACAUUGGAUCCGAACUCUUCAUUUAUUUUCAAUAAAGACCCAUUGUA